CGCGUAGGUGGCUUGUCAGGUCCGAUGUGAAAACCUGGGGCUCAACUCCAGGCGUGCAUCGGAAACCGGCUUGCUAGAGUCUGGGAGAGGAGAGUGGAAUUCCUGGUGUAGCGGUGAAAUGCGUAGAUAUCAGGAGGAACACCGGUAGCGAAGGCGGCUCUCUGGAACAGUACUGACACUGAGGCGCGAAAGCUAGGGGAGCGAACA
rnacentral:rRNA from 1 species